UAGAAAGAAAAUGUAGUUAAUUUGUUAAAACAAACUUUGAAAAACCUUAUUUAGUCGAUAUAUAUCAGAAGAGUGGAACUUGUUCUGUGUAAAUUUAUAUUUAUCCCUACUGGAUACAAAACUGAGAAACGGGUUUACGCAACAAAACGAUAGACAAAUGGCGGACACGGACAGGUAGCGGGACUUGAAUAAACUCUGACUUAAACACACGAAAUGGUGGGCAUGGCAGGGCAUCCAUUAAUAAAUGGGGAAUUAAGUUACUAUAGUCUAUAGUUCAAGCAUUUGUAAUCUUUAGUUCGAUGUGUGGCGAAUUUGAAUUUCAACAGGAGUUCUGUUCGACCAUGACGCAUGAGGAUGUGAAGAGUUGGAUAGGCGUUUAAUAUGGAUCAAAUCAGACAUCGCCAACGGACAUAAGGCUGACCAGGAGACUUUGGUAUAGACAGCUGGGAGGCCAGCCUUGAGGCAGUUCAAGAAGUUGCACAGAACGCAGCUGUGCAGUUGAGCAUGGAUGCCACAGAAGAAUCUCCCAGCUAGGCAAUUGGUGUCAGAGGGUCCCUUUCCUGAAGUGCUAUGUUUUCAGUUUACCCUUCAACAAGACUAUAAGAAUCUCUAGCAGCUCCCUGUCAGCCAUACUGUACAACACACUAUGGACACAGCUUUUAACAGAUAAGCUGAAAGUAUCACAUGGCUUCACCUUUCAACUACAGAGGCUUGGCAUGUAACAGCAAUUUAACCUUCAACACAUAAGCAUUCUGGAGGGCGACAAUAAUCAUCAGUGAAGGCUGAAAGUAUCACAUGGCUUCACCUUUCAACUACAGAGGCUUGGCAUGUAACAGCAAUUUAACCUUCAACACAUAAGCAUUCUGGAGGGCGACAAUAAUCAUCAGUGAAGGACGGGUUAACUUGCAGCCAUCAAGAAUAUUUCCCUUUCUGUGACACUAACUACUUUGCAGCCAAUAUGGAAUACCUCAAAAGGAUAAGUUGCCGAGAGCCUCACAUGGCUGCACCUUUCAAAUACAGAGGCUUGGCAUGUUACAGCAAUUUAACCUUCAACACAUAAGCAUUCUGUAGGGUGAAAAUAAUCAUCAGUGAAGUCACAGAGGAGUUGUCCCUUUUUGUGAAAACCUGGCAUUGUCUGUUAUGACACAGCAAGCAAAGAGGGGCAUUGACUGUCAAAUCACUGAAAGUAUGAGGAUUAUUCCACAUGAAACUGGAAAUGAUGUCAAACAUGUACAUUGUGUAUUUUGAGUUACAAGUGAAAGUUUUGCAAAAUGUGGUAUUAUUUGUCUAGAUCAUCAUGAUUAUAAAAAAAAAACAAUCGGAUAUUCCACAUUAAGUUAUUUCUGGCAGUGAGUAAGCUAAAAAACAUAUUAAAACUUAAAGAAGUUGAAUGUGAUGCAGACAUCAGAGCAAAUUGUAAAACUCUUCUAAUCUGAACAAGUGUUACGGAUAUUACAGUUCAGUGGAAGAUUUACAGAAUAUGAAGGAAGCAAUUUUGGCACAGUGUUUCAACAGAAUGUGAAGUGUUAUAAAUGUUCCAUGACAUAAUAUACAUAUUUAGUGAUAAGUUACUAAAAAGUAUUAUGAAGCGUUCAAUGUGCAAAAAGUGCUGGUGUUAAGUGUUGAGGUUAUGAUGAUGGUUAUGUAAUAAUUCUGGAUAAAUUAUUAUUGGACUAUCGUCUUUGGUAAGUUAUCUUCAGUUAUUAGAACUUAUGCUUGACACAUAUGACAUCUUAUUUGAAUUUUUAACGUAAUUCAUUAGACCUAAUAAAUAUCUUGAUUAGAGAAA